rnacentral:rRNA from 1 species
GACGAACGCUGGCGGCGUGCCUAACACAUGCCAGUCGAACGGAAAGGCCCCUUUGUUGCUACUCGAGGGGGGACCGCGUGCGUAAGACGAGAGCGACCUGCCCCUGCCUUUGGGAGAAGUUCAGCAUACUGGGGCGAAUACUGGUACGGCAUACUAGCUUCAAGCAGGGGGUUGAAAAGUUAAGGUGGUUUUUGCUGGACUCGCGGCUUAUCGGCUGGUUGGUUGGGUAGUUGCUUACGAAGGCUCUGACGGGUAGCCGGCCUGGGAGGGGGACCGGCGACAUUGGGACUGAGGGACGGCGCAGACGCGUACGGGAGGCAGCAGUGGGGAAUAUUGCAGAAUGAGCGGAAGCCUGAUGCGGAAGCGCCGCGUGCGGGAUAACGGCCUUCGGGUUGUAAACCGCUUUCAGCAGGGACGAAGCAUGUAGUGACGGUACCUACAGAGGAAGCAACGGCUAACUACGUG